rfam:Ictidomys tridecemlineatus contig032559, whole genome shotgun sequence.
GGUUUUGUGGCUCAGUGGUAGAGCACUUGCCUCCUAUGUGUGAGUCACUGGGUUCAAUUCUCAGCACCA